rnacentral:rRNA from 1 species
GUGUCAGCAGCCGCGGUAAUACGUAGGUGGCGAGCGUUGUCCGGAAUUAUUGGGCGUAAAGGGUGCGUAGGUGGCUUUUUAAGUGGGGCGUGAAAUCCCCGGGCUUAACCCGGGAGCUGCGCUCCAAACUGGAAAGCUAGAGUGCAGGAGAGGAAAGUGGAAUUCCCAGUGUAGCGGUGAAAUGCGUAGAGAUUGGGAGGAACACCAGUGGCGAAGGCGACUUUCUGGACUGUAACUGACACUGAGGCACGAAAGCGUGGGGAGCAAACAGGAUUAGAUACCCUGGUAGUCCACGCCGUAAACGAUGGGUACUAGGUGUAGGGGCGACAGCCUCUGUGCCGCAGUUAACACAUUAAGUACCCCGCCUGGGAAGUACGAUCGCAAGAUUAAA